UACUUGACGUAGACCCGAAACCGGGCGACCUACCCAUGAGCAGGAUGAAGCGAAAGUAAAAUUUCGUGGAGGUCCGAACCCACGAGCGUUGAAAAGCUCGGGGAUGACUUGUGGGUAGCGGUGAAAUUCCAAUCGAGCCCGGAGAUAGCUGGUUCUCCCCGAAAUAGCUUUAGGGCUAGCCUCAAGGUGAGAGAUACGGAGGUAGAGCACUGAAUGUCCUAGGGGGUAUUGCACCUACCGAAGACUAUCAAACUCCGAAUGCCGUCAUCUUAUACUUGGGAGUCAGACUGUGGGUGAUAAGAUUCAUAGUCGAAAGGGCAACAGCCCAGAUCGUCAGCUAAGGUCCCUAAAUGUAAGUUAAGUGGUAAAGGAUGUGGGAUUGCACAGACAACCAGGAUGUUGGCUUAGAAGCAGCCACUCAUUCAAAGAGUGCGUAAUAGCUCACUGGUCGAGUGAUCCUGCGCCGAAGAUUUCCGGGGCUAAAACUUACUACCGAAGCUACGGCAUCAGUAAUGAUGGGUAGGGGAGCUUCCCAUACGGGUUGAAGCAUGACCGUAAGGACAUGUGGACAGUAUGGGAGUGAGAAUGUUGGCAUGAGUAGCGAGAUGUGGGUGAGAAUCCCACAGGCCGUAAACCCAAGGUUUCCAGGGGAAGGUUCGUCCGCCCUGGGUUAGUCGGGACCUAAGCUGAGGCCGAAAGGCGUAGGUGAUGGACAACAGGUUGA
rnacentral:rRNA from 1 species